GUGCCCGCAAGACACGGUGUGAGACCUCGGGCUACAACACGGGACCCGGGCGCUGCUCCGACCCCUCGUGUCUUGUGUUGCAGCCGGAGGGACGCAGGUCCGCA
rnacentral:pre_miRNA from 9 species